rnacentral:piRNA from 1 species
AGAAGGAAGGCUUAACCCCCACCGUCAGCA